GCCUACUGGGGACGCGGGGGCGCGGGCGCCUGGGCCGGGUGGGCCGGGGACGUGGGCCUGGGGCUCCGGGCUGGCAGACGCGCUGCACCCCCGCGCCUCGCGCUCGGCACCGAAGCGGCCGCCCCCACGCAGCGGGCGGGGGCCGAGACCGGGAGCGCGCGGGGGAGGCGUCUGCUCCCGGGGACUGAGGCGGCGCCUUCGCCUGCCGGCUGCCGCAGGGACGCGGGCCGCCGCGCCGUCGGCGACAUCUUGCUCGGCAGGAAAGCGCGGGGGAGAGCGGGCCGCUCGGAGCUGCUGCGCCACGCGCGCGGAGGACGGGCCGGGGACGCAGGGCCAGGCCGGCGCGGGACCGAGGAGGUAAGCUCGGAGGGCUCCCCGAGGACCCCCCGCCCUUGCUUUGCCUCACUCCUGCCCCCGCCGGUCCCCGGCUUCCCGCGGCCCUGUCACACCAGCCCGCGGCCUCUGGCCGCCGUCCCCCGGGGUGACCCCCCAGCCCCCGCAGUCCUGGCCGCUGCGCCCUCCUCCUGGAGCCUCCCGCGCGGUACCCCGCGGGGGCCGUCAGGACAGGGUCACGGGACGAGGCGCUACCUGGCCCCGUCCUCCCGGGCCCCGCCCCUUCCCGGGGCCGGCCGCCCGCUCCCUCCGCCCCCUCACCUCCGCCCCCUCCCGGGCCCGGCCCCCUCUGCCCGCGCCCGCCCCCCCGCCCGCGCCCCGCCCCCGCCCGCCCCGUCCGGGCGGGGCUCCGGGUUUAAACGUCGCGGCGGGCCGGGUCGGCGGGAGGGGCGGGGCGGGUUUCUGUGUCGUGUCCCCGGCUCCGUAGGCGGCGGCGGCGGAGCGGAGCCGCGCGCGCUCAAGCCCGCGGGAGGCACCAUGUCCCCGGGGAGCGGGGUGAAGAGCGAGUACAUGAAGCGCUACCGGGAGCCGCGCUGGGAGGAGUACGGGCCGUGCUACCGGGAGCUGCUGCACUACCGCCUGGGCCGCCGGCUGCUGGAGCAGGCGCACGCGCCCUGGCUCUGGGACGACUGGGGCCCGGCCGGCGCCUCGGACGACUCGGCGUCGUCGGCGUCGUCGGGCGCCGGGGGCCCCGCGCCCCAGUUCGCCCCCGCCUCGCCGCCGCCGCCGCCCGCGGAACCCGCGGCGCGGGAGGGGCCGGAACGGCGGGCGCGGGGGCCGGCGGAGGAGCAGGGCGCGGAGGCGGCGGAGGCCGGGGAGGCUCGGGACGCGGCGAGCGCGGAGGAGGCGGCGGACGUGGCUCUGCCAGCACUGCCAGUGAAAGACAUAAAAGAAAAACCUGAACAACAGGUCAGAGCAAAAGAGACUGACAAGUUACCCAGCAGUACUGAACCUCGACAGCAACCAAGUGCCUUAUUUGCUAGAGGAAAUAGGAAAGCAGCCAAAAGUCCUCAAAGAUCAUCAACUAAAAUAAAGGAGAAGAAGCAUCCGUUUGCUCUUUAUGGGUGGGGAGAAAAACAGACCGAUACAGGAAGCCAAAAAACUCACAACGUCUGCGCGUCUGCCCCUGUGCAUGAGAUUCAUGAAUCAGCAUUACGAGCCAAGAACAGAAGACAGGUGGAAAAAAGGAAACUGGUCACUCAGAGGCAGCGCGCUCACUCUGUAGACGUGGAGAAAAACCGAAAGAUAAAGCCUUCCUCCUCGGAGAACCCAUGGAUGACAGAGUACAUGAGAUGCUAUUCGGCAAGAGCUUAAAGGCCGAAACAGUUGCUUGGACAGCCUCUUCAAAAGAGUGUAAAUGAAAAGAAAGAAGAAACAAAACAAAAGAAAACAGACAUAGAAACUCAUUCGUAACAAAGCCUUGACGAUGUACGUUGUUCAGACUUCCGCUGAAAUGCAUUUCUCCCGGAUUCCUAGCCAGUGGAAUGAGACGAUGGUGGUGUUUGUCUAGGCACGGAUGUUGAGCAUGUAAAUCGCUCCUUCCCUGGUACAUUUCCUUUGGGAUAGAACAAAAUGGUUUUAAGGAAUGCUGGUUUCCAUCCAGCUGAUACAGGAAAACUACAGGAAGGAAGCGUGCCGAAUUCUCUGGAAGAGGGAAAAAAGGUCCUUUGCCUAGGCCAGGCUAGCACCUGUAGAGGGGUGAAUAAAAUUUGCUAUUAGGUGUGAGGUUGAACAUUCCCUUGCUGUUUUUACUCUGGAUCUUUGAAGUGUUGUCAAUUUUUACUCUUUUUUUUUUUUUUUUAAAGUAGGCUCCAGGCCCAGUGUGGGGCUAGAACUCAUGACCCUGAGACCAAGAGUAUGCUCUACCAAUUGAGCCAACCAAGCCCCCCAUAGUCAAUGUUUAGAACACAAAUAUGUUGUAUUCCACAUAAAAUCUUCACACGAUGUCCUCUUACAACUGUAUAAGCUUUGAAAACUCAAGAAUCGCGAGCUUUAAAAAAAAAAAGAAAAAAGACUUUUUAAAUACUUGCAUCGUUCUGAGGUGAAUCCUUUUACAUAGAGAGCUCUCCUAAUCAUUGAGAUGGGUAUUUAACAGGAAGUUCUAUAUGUCGGUCCAAAACAACCCUGCUAAUAAUCCUGGUGAACGUUACUGUCGUUAUUAAAGUCCUUAAACACUGCAGGUACCUAACGAUCAAAUUAACGUGGCAUUGUGAUGGUGCAGCUGACUGUGAAAACGGUUCCUUCCAAAGCCCUUCGUGCUCCUUUGUGUUUAGGCAUCCAGCUCAAGCGUUCCUGUUGCACCUGACAAUCUCCGGGAAGAUGGCCUUGGGUGUAGGUCAGGUUCCACACUGACGGGCUGCCUUAGAAACCCAGCUUCCUCUCGGCUUUACCAAGCCGGACUCCCUCCCCUUUAGGGAACAGACUCGUAUUCAAUGUGCUUCCUACUGGCAACUCCAGAUGGAGACAAAACCUAGAAGGCAAUAUUGGCCAGUUUUACCCCUUUUUUAAGUAGAAGACCAAUGGACAGGGUUUUUAAAGUACUUUUCGUGUGCAUGAACAAUGAGUACAUCAGGCUGAAUUAACUGUGAGUCCCCUUCCCAUGUCCAAGUCAUUAGUUGGUGAGGGUGUCUUUUUAGGGGUGAAAACCACCUUUGGAGCCCAUGAAGUUUUUUAAGCGGUAACAAUUUGAUGGUCUGACUGUUCCCUUCAUUCUAGAAACUCAUGUUCCUAAUUCUUAUAAAUCGUGUUCCUAAUUCUUGGGACAGCGUGGAAGACAGCAAGCUGGUUUAAAAUUACCUUUCAUGUUGAAAAGUCUGAAACGGAAAAUCCAGUGAGAAUAUGGAAUAAAAUAAUUGCUGCCUAAGAUUCUCUUUUUUAAAUUUUGGUUUUAAAAUUAAAAGUUUGCCAUAAACAUGGUUUCUGUGUUACUUUUAUUAAGAACAGUAAUCGGAUACUAAGUAACAUCUAGCAACUCUGCUGGACCAAGGCAAAUGACAAGUGAAUAGAAAUCUAUUUCUUUUUUUGAAAAAAUAUUUUGAAAUACUUUUUUAAGUGUAUCUUUAUUUAUUUUGAGAGACAGAGCAAGCAGGGGACGGACAGAGAGAGAGGGAGACAGAAUCCCAAGCAGGCG